AUUUACUUGAUUUUAACCUAUUUCAGAUAUUAUUAACAUUUUUAAAUCUAAGAGAGAAGUGUAGUGAAGCCAAGAAAUGAAAAGUGAUAAAAUUAGCAGAAAUCACCUUUCAUGUCGUAACAUUUUCUUAGUAAAUAUUCUUAUUACUUUUGUAUGUUGCUAUUUGAAUCAAUAAAGUUGAAACCUUUAUAAGGUAUUGUGAUUCAAUUGUUGACAAAUGACUCAAGAGGGCAACUGACUAGGAAUUCUUAUCCAAUAUUCAACAAUAAAGGGAGGAUAGAACAUAAAUAUGUACGUUUCGUGGUAAUUUGAUGUUUUGGUGAUCAAGUAGCUACAUACGAAAUUACACGAAGAUGUUAAGGCCGUGGUUUAAAUGUUCUAUCAGAAAGGGACUGUGGCUCAAAAUAAAAUGACAAAAGUCAUGGUAAUGGUCGUGACAUUGACCGUGGCAGUGGCGAUGGCGAUGAAUUGCUAUGAAAAAUUGCGAGAUGGCAACCAGAUGAAUGCAACGUAUACACUAUAGAGGUUAAUAAUUGACCUAGUUAGUCGACUACUUGAUUAUCGGACUCAAAGAUAAACAAGAGAAAUAAGUUUUGGAAAUAUUGAAAUAAAUGCUUACAUGAGGAGAAUGAUCGAGAUUUAGAUCGUAAUUCAAAAUAAAGAGGUAUUGUGACAGCGAAAAAGUCUUUGAUAGAUUUAUUGAUU